UACGAAGGGGGCUAGCGUUGCUCGGAAUGACUGGGCGUAAAGGGCGCGUAGGCGGUUUGUACAGUCAGGUGUGAAAUUCCCCGGGCUCAACCUGGGGGGCUGCACUUGAUACGUAUGGACUGGAGUGGGGAAGAGGGUCGUGGAAUUCCCAGUGUAGAGGUGAAAUUCGUAGAUAUUGGGAAGAACACCGGUGGCGAAGGCGGCGACCUGGUCCUUGACUGACGCUGAGAAGCGAAAGCGUGGGGAGCGAACAGG
rnacentral:rRNA from 1 species